AGGUGAAAGGAGAACAAGAUGACCUCAGAUACAUCCUCCUGGUAACAACCUUUUCUGUACGUGAAAAUAGUUAUGUCCCCUCUCAGUCUUCUCUUUCCCAGACUAAACAAACCCAAUUUUUUCAAUCUUCCCUCACAGGUCGUUUUCUAGACCUUUAAUCAUUUUUGUUGCUCUUCUUUGGACUUUCCCCAAUUUGUC